UCUAGACCAAAAAUACUUAGUAAGAUUUUGUAUUUUUGGAGUGCAGCUUUUUUAUACAUAUACUUUCAGACAGUUACGAUGUGUAACCGUGGUAACAAGGUGGUUUUACAACCGGCAGCAGCUGGUUAGCAUCAUCAAAAGAUCAAAUGACCCCUGAACCCUGACCUCAUACCUCACAGGACCUGAAAUGGAGGCAUCGUGAAGAACGAUCAUGUCUCCUACUCCAUCGUCUUUUUAGCCAUACAGAAAGACAGAGAUUUAAAGACGAGUAGCAAAUGAAAACCAGAUCAGAGAUCAGAACAGGCCAGGAACCACGGGACCUCAAUCCUCCCGUAAACAGGAAGCUCCUGGAGAACUGGUGUCACUUGACACAGAAAAGAAAAGAUUCUCGUCAACCCGAGAGAGUCCCAAAGCCAAAGCAAAACCAAGUACCCCAAAAUCCCCACAUGGAGUAAGCUUUUUGGCUGCCGUGACAAAAAAUAUCUUCAAGAAAUUUGGGCAUUUGCAACCAGUGGGGUUUUAAUCAUCAAAUAGGAUUACUCCCAUCUCAUGACCACAGCCCGUCUGACCAAGGAUUUGGAUCCGGAUUUGGUACUUCUGCUGAACAUGGAGUCAGCGCUGCUCCUCCCCAGCCUCUCCUCCCAGAGCCGUCCAUCAGUGCAGCAUCUGCUCUCUUCCUCGUCCCACGGUUGAUCAUUUCAGUACCUGAUCGACAGGCCAGGUUCUGUUCUCUCCUCACACACUGACUGAUUCUGUCAGUAAUAUUUCUCUGGUCACUGAUCUCUCCUCUCCGCCCCUCUCGCAGUGCUGCAGUUGAAGAUCCACUGUGCCAAUAAAUCUGAGUUUUCUGUUCCCUCCUGCGUCGUGUCUGAUUUUCUGGGUCCCUCUAGUGCAGUGGUUCCCAAAGUAAAAGCAAAAUCUUGAAUUGCAUGAUAUUAGUAAUAUGUUUUUUUGAGGAAUACUUGGAAUAUUAAGUGAUGAAAAACUUUCAUUACAAAGACAUUGCAGAAAAAUGAUCUCGCCAGGUCAAAAAAGGCCCAUUAGAGGUUUAAGACUUCUUUUCAUGUCAGAUUUUGACUUUUAAAUUGUUUUAAAUAUUGAACCUUUUAUUUCCUUUGUAUGUUUUUUA